CGGCCGCCGCCGCCGCAGCAGCUCCGCGGCGCCCGGUGCCGUCCCCUCGCCGCGCAGCCCGGGCACGGCUCCGCCACAGCCAGCACAGCCCGGCUGCUUUUAGGAGCAGCGCUGCUGAGGCCCGGGGGGGGGGAAAUGAAAGGAAAAGGAGGUUGCAGCAGCGGGAGCCGCCGCACCCCGGCGGGAGGAGCGGGAUCGGGGGAGCUUGGCAGGCGGGAGGGCGGCCUCUGCCACGGCGCUGCCCGGAGCUUCUCCCCGGCGGUCUCCACCUGCCCGCGGGGGGAGCGGAGCCGGCUCCGGUCCCGGUCCCGGCCCCUUCGCCCUCGCUCGGCGCCCCGCGGGCAGCGGCUCCGCGCUCGGGGCCGCGCCGGCAGCGGCGCGGGCUCGUCUCUCAUCCUGAGGACAAGGUCAAGGAUGAAGGGUCAAUGUCAAGUUGUCUUAACGGUGGAAGGCGACCCUCCACGGCAGCACUCCUUGCUUCCCGCGUUUCUGGUGUCCUCGAUUGAUUCGAAAGUGCCAUUUUGAAGGGGAACCGCGCCCGGGCACCAAGAAGACGCGAGGACUUCGCUUUUCCUUCCCCGGGCGAAGGAGUGAGGACGGUACAGGACGGGGAUGUCACCGCCACUCUGCCUAACAGUAUUUAGCGUCUUAAAGUGCUUUAAUGGCUGGAUUGCUUUAGGUUUCAGGGACCCUCGGAGGACUGCAUUCUGCCAAGCGAACCCUCCGAGAGGGUUUCUCUUGGGAUCACGGACCCUCCUGAAGGAACAGCUGAGCUUUCCCUGCGCCCCUCUCCGCACGCAGCGUUCGUCCGCGGCGGCGCCGGGCUCCCCCCGCAGCUCGCCCCGGGGCCGGCGGCGGCACGGAGCUCGCAGAGUCCGCGACACCCCCCUGUAACCCUCGCGGAUGGACGAGAGAAACAAUAAAGAACGCUGCUUCCUAAA